rnacentral:rRNA from 1 species
ACGGAGGGAGCAAGCGUUGUUCGGAUUUACUGGGCGUAAAGGGCGUCUAGGCGGGCUGGCAAGUCAGGUGUGAAAUCCCUCGGCUCAACCGGGGAACUGCAUUUGAUACUGCUGGUCUUGAGUACGGAAGAGGGAAGUGGAAUUCCUGGUGUAGCGGUGAAAUGCGUAGAUAUCAGGAAGAACAUCGGUGGCGAAGGCGGCUUCCUGGUCCAGUACUGACGCUGAAGCGCGAAAGUGUGGGGAGCAAACAG